rnacentral:lncRNA from 10 species
GAAUGAAUGUAUUUAGGCUAGUCAUGGUUAGGACUGCAGCGGUUAUUGGCAAUGUGUGAUUUGUGUUUUCUUACUUUAUAGAAUUAUCUAAUGUGAUAUGCUGAUUUUUACAGGUAAUAUUUAGAUAUUUCCAAUAAUUGUAUAUUUGACAACCUACUAAAAUGAUUUGCUUUGGGAAAAAACUGAAAAACAAUACUCAAACAUAGGCUGCCUGUAAGAGGCUAAACAAUUGUAAAUAUAUAUACACCUAAUACUAGAUCAUCUAAAUGUAUAAAGAAAGUAUUAAUAGACCUAAAAAGAAACAGACUGCAAUACAGUAAUAGCAGGGUUUUUCAACACUUCACUUUCAACAAUGAACAUGUCAUCUAGACAGAAAUCAAUAAGGAAACACUGGACUUGAAACGCACAUUAGAUCAAAUGGACCUAACAGACAUAUAUAGAACAUUCCAUCCAACAGCAACAGAAUACUCAUUCUUCUCAAGUGCAAAUGGGACAUUAUCCAGGAUCAAAUAUUAGGGAACAAAAUAAGUCUCCACAGUUUUAAGAAGAUCGAAAUCAUAUCAAGUAUCUUUUCUGACCACAAAGUUAUGAAAGUAGAAGUGAAUAAUAGGAGAAAAUUUAAAAUAUUUACAAACGUGGAAAUUAAACAACAUGCUCCUGAAUAAACAAUGGGUUAAAUAAAAAAUCAAAAGCAAAAUUAAAAAAAAUCUUAAGACAGAUGAAAAUGAAAACACAACAUACCACAACUUAUGGCAUGUAGCAAAAGAAGAUAUUAGCAAGAGGAAUGUUUGUAGUAAUAAAUGCCUAUAUUAAAAAAGAAGAAAGAUCCCAAACAACCUAAUGUUACAUUUCAAGAAACCAGAAAAAGAGAAGAGCAAACUAAUCCCAAAGUUAGCAGAAGGAAGGAAAUAACAAAGAUCAGAGCAGAAAUAAAUAAGAAGCUAGAAAACAAUAGAAUGCAUUCACAAAACUAAGACUUGAAUUUUUGAAAAGAUAAAAACAAUUGGCAAAACUUGAGUAGACCAACUAAGA